UACGGAGGGUGCAAGCGUUAUCCGGAUUCACUGGGUUUAAAGGGUGCGUAGGCGGGCAGGUAAGUCCGUGGUGAAAUCUCUGAGCUUAACUCAGAAACUGCCAUGGAUACUAUUUGUCUUGAAUAUUGUGGAGGUGAGCGGAAUAUGUCAUGUAGCGGUGAAAUGCUUAGAUAUGACAUAGAACACCAAUUGCGAAGGCAGCUUACUACCCGAAUAUUGACACUGAGGCACGAAAGCGUGGGGAUCAAACAGG
rnacentral:rRNA from 1 species